rfam:Haemonchus contortus, ISE/inbred ISE, WGS project CAVP01000000 data, contig: Hcontortus_19841
GGCCUAAAUUUGAACUACAAUAGAUUAGUAGGGUCAGUUGAUACUACUGAUCUACUCUACUACAAAUUUGGGCCG